rnacentral:ncRNA from 1 species
AUGGCAGGAGAGACCCGUAAGGGAGCCGAAGGGGAAAGGAGCCGGGUUUUAAUUCUUGGCUGUGAAACUCUCAGGCAAAAGAACUGCCGAA